GCUCUGGUGGUCUAGUAGAAUGAUACGUGCUUUGGGUAGUUCGCUCGGAUGCACGGGGUCCCGGGUUCAAAUCCCGGCCAGGGUC